GAUGAACGCUGGCGGCGUGCCUAAUACAUGCCAGUCGAGCGAACAGACGAGGAGCUUGCUCCUCUGACGUUAGCGGCGGACGGGUGAGUAACACGUGGAUAACCUACCUAUAAGACUGGGAUAACUUCGGGAAACCGGAGCUAAUACCGGAUAAUAUAUUGAACCGCAUGGUUCAAUAGUGAAAGACGGUUUUGCUGUCACUUAUAGAUGGAUCCGCGCCGCAUUAGCUAGUUGGUAAGGUAACGGCUUACCAAGGCAACGAUGCGUAGCCGACCUGAGAGGGUGAUCGGCCACACUGGAACUGAGACACGGUCCAGACUCCUACGGGAGGCAGCAGUAGGGAAUCUGCCGCAAUGGGCGAAAGCUUGACGGAGCAACGCCGCGUGAGUGAUGAAGGUCUUCGGAUCGUAAAACUCUGUUAUUAGGGAAGAACAAAUGUGUAAGUAACUAUGCACGUCUUGACGGUACCUAAUCAGAAAGCCACGGCUAACUACGU
rnacentral:rRNA from 1 species